UGGGGAAUAUUGCACAAUGGGCGGAAGCCUGAUGCAGCAACGCCGCGUGAGGGAUGACGGCCUUCGGGUUGUAAACCUCUUUUAGCAGGGAAGAAGCGUGAGUGACGGUACCUGCAGAAAAAGCGCCGGCUAACUACGUGCCAGCAGCCGCGGUAAUACGUAGGGCGCAAGCGUUAUCCGGAAUUAUUGGGCGUAAAGAGCUCGUAGGCGGUUUGUCGCGUCUGCUGUGAAAUCCCGAGGCUCAACUUCGGGUCUGCAGUGGGUACGGGCAGACUAGAGUGCGGUAGGGGAGAUUGGAAUUCCUGGUGUAGCGGUGGAAUGCGCAGAUAUCAGGAGGAACACCGAUGGCGAAGGCAGAUCUCUGGGCCGUAACUGACGCUGAGGAGCGAAAGGGUGGGGAGCAAACAGG
rnacentral:rRNA from 1 species